rnacentral:rRNA from 1 species
UACGUAGGGGGCAAGCGUUGUCCGGAAUCAUUGGGCGUAAAGAGCGUGUAGGCGGCCAGAUAAGUCCGCUGUGAAAUCUCGAGGCUCAACUUCGAGCUGUCGGUGGAAACUGUCUGGCUAGAGUCCGGAAGAGGAGAAUGGAAUUCCUGGUGUAGCGGUGAAAUGCGCAGAUAUCAGGAGGAACACCGGUGGCGAAGGCGCCACUCUGGGCCGAAACUGACGCUGAGGAGCGAAAGCGUGGGUAGCAAACAGG